rnacentral:lncRNA from 1 species
UUUGAAUAUUUCUGCUCGAGGUUUCGAAGUUUAGGGCGUACACGAUUGAAGUUACUGCAACCAAACUUCGCUUUUAUGAAACUUAUUCGAAAUAAAAUCGGUAUACCAUGCAGAGGGAAAGGUCAGUAUUAAAUUUAGCUAUUUUUAAAACGUUUUUGAGUUGUUCUUGUUAAGUUCUAGUUGCUCUUCGAAGCUCGUGUGUAGAUAUAUUCAUUGUAAUAAUAUGUAUCGACUUCAAGCGCUUCGUUUCGGCGCUUAGUCGCUUUGUUUCUUUGCCGUUUCUCUCUCAUUUUCUAGCAGUUGUGUUCAGAAAUACCCGAGCUUUGAUUUAUUUAACUCAUAUUUAGUUUAUCUGCAAUUUCAGGGCGAAAAUUUGACGAGAAAGUGAACUAAUUUAAGUCGCCGUCAUGGUCGAAAAGGCGAAGUACUUGGUAAGCAUAAUGUCCACUACGGGCGUUUCCUUCUUAUUUUUUUAUUUAAGCUUCCCUUAUACACCUAGAACGUCUUCUGGUAAAGCCUAAUUUGUAGCUUGAUGAACAUUCUCCGUUAAAUUUAGUUAUAAAAAUAUGUCCGAACAGAGCGAAAUGCCGACUCAUUUUAGGCAUGUUCAAUUCGACAUGCAUUUCAAACAUUUUAGCUUCUACAAACUUAUCGUUUAUGUACAAAUUGUACUCUGAGAGGGAAGGCUAAGCUUUUUGAGUUUUUUGAGGUAUUCUUAGUUGAAUUUAGUCCAAAUAUUUUGAAGAAGCUCAGAGAUGAAAUGCCCUCGUGGUUCAUGCCCUAAUUUUAUGCAUACAUACACGCAUUCUUUAAAAUUAAACUAAAUUGAAUUGUACAACCACAUCCUGUGUAAACGACAUUAAAUAACUCUUCAAUGUUAAAACUAAAAUUAAUUUUAAUAUUUUUUAGAUUGCCUCAAGUUCGAUUAUCUUGACGCCAAACAGUACAGAAAGACCUCUGCGCAGAUUUGAAGAGACGUUCGCCUAGCAGUCGAAGCAAAACGAGAAGACGGCGGGAAAGCAAAUGCUGAAUGAAGACCAUCAUCAGUUAACCCACAGCAUUCAUCGUCGCAUUUCGUUUGUCCCAAGUUUGGAAGAGACAGUAAAACUUAAUAAGAUACACUCAUCAUCAGAUUUCGCUCUGUCAGCCAGGACGCGACCAUCGUUUCCAAGACUGGCAUGAGGAAUUGCCUACCUAUACCAGCCUACGAAAUAGGCGUGAAAGAUGCUGUACAUUACAGAAGGUAUAUUUCCUCGUAAUUCUCGUUGGUCGUGUUCGAAAGUACGUGGGGACCACCCUCAGGGCGCCCAAAUGCACAAGACAAAUUUAAAUAUGGCACCUUUUCCUUAAUUUCGCAAUUUAUUCAAAUUUUUCACAUUUCUUGAUAUUUGUGAAAAGCUCUUAGCGAAAUCAAAAUGUUUGAAAUUCGGAAGGUUCUAUCUGGGAGUUUGUUUAUUUGAAAGAUGUUUGAAAUGAAAUUUUGAAAUUUACAUCACUUUGGUAUUUGGUUUAAACGCUAGGUAAAAUCAUGCCAGAUGAUUGGCCGGCCAUUCGUCGAGGUUCGGUGGUACUUCGGCUCGGACUUGCCCGACCUACAGUCGAGUUGCUCUGAUCGAUUGUCGUGAUCAACUAGCACAGGUGCAAGGUCUGGCCAACCUUACAUCAGUGCUUUUUGUUCGUGGCAUGAGAUUGGGGCAGCUCGCUUGUAGGCCUGGAAAGAUCAAGCCAAAGUACCACCAAACUUUGAUUUGUGACCGGCUUUUUGUCUGUAUGGCUUUAUCCAGCGUUUUUCCGUUAUCAUUUUGAUGUCGACUUUGGGAUUUUGGCUUGGAUAUCUUUUAUAUAAACAUUCUUUGAGGUUUAAUCUUUCAAGAAUUUCAUGGUUUUUGACGAGUUAACGUGUUGCUCGCAGAUAUAUAAUUGUAUUAAAAAAUUUAACCAAAAAAAUUUAAAACUGACCAAAACGUCAUUUGAGGUGUCGGAUGGGAGGUCCCGUGGGAGUCGCAGCGGAUAUCAAUGGAUAAAUACGGAUUACUGUUUAUUAUUGGAAAUCGAUACUGUGAACAUUAAUGGAUUAUUAUGAACAUUGAUGAAUUACAACGAACACUUCAGGAUUAUUGUGAACAUUUGUGGAUAAAAUGUACCUCGCGAUCGACGGUUAAUCUACCAAUGUACCUUGAUAACGAAAGCUGCACGACGGCAACGAGACGACUGCCUCAAGGUUAGAGUAUUAGUCUGAUAACAAGCAGUAGUUAGCUUGCUAUCAGGCAAUAGUUAAGGGUUAGCCUGCUAUCAGGCAGUAGCUACCCAGGACUCUAAUUUGCAUGUGUUCGGUGACGUCUCUGGGAUAAACCGGUUUAAAAAACCUGGCGGUCUGUCGUUAAUUGUACAUAUUUGCACACAAGGUUGACUUUCAUUCAGAUGUUUGCAUGCUAAUAAAAAUGAGGUACAAUUUUUACCUCAGUUAAUCAGAAUUUCAACAUCGUCUGCAAUCGAAAGUCAAUCUUAAGAGGUUAACAUUUGAGCUUCCGGUCACGUGGUUCUUUGCAUGCACCUGGUGGGUUUCAGUAAGUGUUACAAUCCAAACGAUGGUCAAUGUCAGAAAUGUUGACAGCUCCUGAGAAAUUUAUUUUGCUUCAAAUACAAGACUACUACAUAAAGUAAAAAACAGUGAACAUUAUUUUUUCACUCUAGUAACUCGUACUGAGACCCACUAGCUACUUGAGGUCUGUUCGUGCCAAUGUUGUUCUCUUUGUGUAAAUGUACUGCUUAGGUGUCUCCGUGUCUGUGCAUGGAUAAACGCAGCGCGCAACUAGUAUCCAGAAUAUAGGCAGACAAGUGAAACCAUUCCAGACUUAAAAAUUUUGUUUAUAUCAAUAUGUUAUGUUCAUAAAUGUAUAGAAAUAUCAUGAAAUGUGUUAGGCUUUGGCUUGGGGUUAAAUCUAACCCUAUAACCUUAACCUUAAUCCAUUACAUGAUCUGUAUAUUUGUGUAUGUAAUAUAUGGGUGUAGGUAAAAUUUUGUUAGUUGAAAAGCUGGCAUAGUUUUCCUUGGGUAGGAUAACUAAACUGGGUGCAAAUGGUAUCCAUAGCUUAGAGGGUGCAAAUGGUACCCGUAAGAAGAUUGGUGGACAUCGUUGGACAAGAUAAAAAGAUCAGUUUAGGACUGUAAUGACAUAAUUAUUGUAAUGAUAAAUAGUCUAGGUUUUCCUAAAGAUAAUAAAUUGGCAGUGUAUUGCCUAGGAAAGUUGUGUCUUUCAUCGCCCGUAGUGCAUGUAUAUCGCUGGUUUCGAACGUUGGUUUUCUGCCCCCAAUUAUAUGAAAACAGUUCGCUACCAGAGAUUAGGUCCCCUCUCUGUUAUGGCGGCUCGACGAUGGAAGAAAUUAACAUAAGGCAUGCAAACCUUACCCCUGUUUGUGGAAGCUCAUCAGGUGCAACCGGCACACUAGGUUAAGUUAAGCUAGGGGCAUGACCGAGACUCCACAUUCGGGGGUUUCCCUUGCAGGUUUUUGAAAGGUUAUAUACGCGCGCGCACUAGUUAGGAAGGUUAGGCAGCUAGAAAUAGGGCGUUUUUGCUUCUCUUUGCAUGCAUACUAUAAGGCAUGUAUACUAAAUAAUUCAUAUUAUCGUCAUACUUUUGCGCCAGUAACUUUCUGUGAAGUAUUAAUUUAAAACAACAGGAAAAUGGAAUCUGUUUCCCUGCUGAAAAAUACUUACAGAACCAAAUCAAAGUGGAAAAAAAGGAAAUAUUGCGAAAAAGAGAAAAAUAAACUGAAAAAGAAAACCGCGAAGCCACUUUGAAUAUAAGCAACAAUAGUCCAAGAAUACUCGUUGCAGAAAAAACAACAAAAAAGAAACAAUUUUCUGCCUAAAAUAUCUUGGAUUAGGAGCUUAAUGAUAAGAAACGUAGUUCUCGCUCCAAAGUGGAGAAUAGGCUCGUUUCUUUAGGUUGCUAAUGCAUUGCGCGCGCGCUUUAUAAAAUUGUACUAUACGUUUUCAGUUGAAAAGACCGCCAGGGAAAAUAGGGUGUUUUCAUGUGUUGCUUUGUUGACGAAUAAGUUUUCAAAAUGAUGGUUUUCUUUUGUCCUUGUAUUUCGACACUUUAACUUGUUCCCAAACAUAGCCGCCGUGAAAACACUCUGCAGAUCAAGUUUAUAUAUGGUCGCAAUAGCAAUAUAGAAUGUUUGCCAUGUUGCAUUCCGUGUUGUCUUGCAUUGUUCAUACAUAAGCUUGGUCCAACCAUGGAUCAUAAAAACACCAUGGUCGAACGCAGCUAAUUAACAUAAGCAGCGCGCGCACGUGCGGCUGUAAUGCGGAGUACAGUCACUGAGUGUACUCCAUGUGCAAAUAGUGAAGUGUGCUCUAUAUAGUCUAGACUUGAAACAAAGUUUCAUGCGCAAAGUUUCAUGCUUAUUAAAAUUAAACGCGCUAACUUGCAUGCUAGGUAAAAUUAAGGGCAUGAAAAUCGGUGCAUGCUGUAUUUAAAUUGAGUGUACGCGUUUCAUUCUUAUUAAAAUCAAACGCGCUAACUUGCAUGCUAGGUAAUAUUAAGGGAAUGAAAAUCAGUGCAUGCUAUAUUUAAAUUGAGUGCGCGCGGUGCAAUUUUCUUGCGCGCGAUAGCAAAAUGCGCCAAAAAUCCAAAUAUAGAAAUGCACACAUCACAUCUUCAAAAUGCAUCCAAUUGUCCUAACACCUUCUACAAACUAUCGUAAAAUCUGUUGGGCUGUUGGAUUCAUUUGCCACGCACCUUGUCCUGAACAUAUUUGAAAUAUUUUCAAGUUUUAAGGUUAAGAUAAAUAUACCUUAUGUGGAACAAUUUGUUCAUUAAAAGGGAUAUUUAUCUUGCACAAUCUAUAGACUGAAUUUUCGGGUGCUCUACAAUGUUUUAUUGAACAUCUCGUGAGACUUUUUUUGAGUUUUCUUUUGCAAGAUUUUUACCUUUCUGGAUUUUGGUAGGUAUGGGUAGGUAUGGUAUAUUACAGUUAAUUCGGCUGUGUAACUGGGUGGGGUUCCCCCUGCGGUUUUCGGUAUCAGGACUCAUAAUCACCAAGGUUUUUCACCAGAUCUCGCCAUGCACAGCAACCGUGCAUGGCAUUUCUGGUUUUCCUCGGGUGAUUAUACAUUUUUUCGUUUGGCA